GGGUUGUGAGGUUAAGCGACCAAGCGUACACGGUGGAUGCCCUGGCAGUCAGAGGCGAUGAAGGACGUGCUAAUCUGCGAUAAGCGCCGGUAAGGUGAUAUGAACCGUUAUAACCGGCGAUUUCCGAAUGGGGAAACCCAGUGUGACUCGUCACACUAUCAUUAACUGAAUCCAUAGGUUAAUGAGGCGAACCGGGGGAACUGAAACAUCUAAGUACCCCGAGGAAAAGAAAUCAACCGAGAUUCCCCCAGUAGCGGCGAGCGAACGGGGAGGAGCCCAGAGCCUGAAUCAGCAUGUGUGUUAGUGGAAGCGUCUGGAAAGGCGCGCGAUACAGGGUGACAGCCCCGUACACAAAAGCGCACAUGCUGUGAGCUCGAUGAGUAGGGCGGGACACGUGGUAUCCUGUCUGAAUAUGGGGGGACCAUCCUCCAAGGCUAAAUACUCCUGACUGACCGAUAGUGAACCAGUACCGUGAGGGAAAGGCGAAAAGAACCCCGGCGAGGGGAGUGAAACAGAACCUGAAACCGUGUACGUACAAGCAGUGGGAGCACAGGUUUACCUGUGUGACUGCGUACCUUUUGUAUAAUGGGUCAGCGACUUAUAUUCUGUAGCAAGGUUAACCGCAUAGGGGAGCCGAAGGGAAACCGAGUCUUAACCGGGCGUUAAGUUGCAGGGUAUAGACCCGAAACCCGGUGAUCUAGCCAUGGGCAGGUUGAAGGUUGGGUAACACUAACUGGAGGACCGAACCGACUAAUGUUGAAAAAUUAGCGGAUGACCUGUGGCUGGGGGUGAAAGGCCAAUCAAACCGGGAGAUAGCUGGUUCUCCCCGAAAGCUAUUUAGGUAGCGCCUCGUGAAUUCAUCUCCGGGGGUAGAGCACUGUUUCGGCUAGGGGGCCAUCCCGGCUUACCAACCCGAUGCAAACUGCGAAUACCGGAGAAUGUUAUCACGGGAGACACACGGCGGGUGCUAACGUCCGUCGUGAAGAGGGAAACAACCCAGACCGCCAGCUAAGGUCCCAAAGUCAUGGUUAAGUGGGAAACGAUGUGGGAAGGCCCAGACAGCCAGGAUGUUGGCUUAGAAGCAGCCAUCAUUUAAAGAAAGCGUAAUAGCUCACUGGUCGAGUCGGCCUGCGCGGAAGAUGUAACGGGGCUAAACCAUGCACCGAAGCUGCGGCAGCGACACUGUGUGUUGUUGGGUAGGGGAGCGUUCUGUAAGCCUGUGAAGGUGGCCUGUGAGGGUUGCUGGAGGUAUCAGAAGUGCGAAUGCUGACAUAAGUAACGAUAAAGCGGGUGAAAAGCCCGCUCGCCGGAAGACCAAGGGUUCCUGUCCAACGUUAAUCGGGGCAGGGUGAGUCGACCCCUAAGGCGAGGCCGAAAGGCGUAGUCGAUGGGAAACGGGUUAAUAUUCCCGUACUUGGUGUUACUGCGAAGGGGGGACGGAGAAGGCUAUGUUGGCCGGGCGACGGUUGUCCCGGUUUAAGCGUGUAGGCUGACUUUCCAGGCAAAUCCGGAGAGUCAAGGCUGAGGCGUGACGACGAGGCACCACGGUGCUGAAGCAACAAAUGCCCUGCUUCCAGGAAAAGCCUCUAAGCAUCAGGUAACAUCAAAUCGUACCCCAAACCGACACAGGUGGUCAGGUAGAGAAUACCAAGGCGCUUGAGAGAACUCGGGUGAAGGAACUAGGCAAAAUGGUGCCGUAACUUCGGGAGAAGGCACGCUGACACGUAGGUGAAGUGGUUUACCCAUGGAGCUGAAGUCAGUCGAAGAUACCAGCUGGCUGCAACUGUUUAUUAAAAACACAGCACUGUGCAAACACGAAAGUGGACGUAUACGGUGUGACGCCUGCCCGGUGCCGGAAGGUUAAUUGAUGGGGUCAGCGCAAGCGAAGCUCCUGAUCGAAGCCCCGGUAAACGGCGGCCGUAACUAUAACGGUCCUAAGGUAGCGAAAUUCCUUGUCGGGUAAGUUCCGACCUGCACGAAUGGCGUAAUGAUGGCCAGGCUGUCUCCACCCGAGACUCAGUGAAAUUGAACUCGCUGUGAAGAUGCAGUGUACCCGCGGCAAGACGGAAAGACCCCGUGAACCUUUACUAUAGCUUGACACUGAACAUUGAGCCUUGAUGUGUAGGAUAGGUGGGAGGCUUUGAAGCGUGGACGCCAGUCUGCGUGGAGCCGACCUUGAAAUACCACCCUUUAAUGUUUGAUGUUCUAACGUGGACCCGUGAUCCGGGUUGCGGACAGUGUCUGGUGGGUAGUUUGACUGGGGCGGUCUCCUCCUAAAGAGUAACGGAGGAGCACGAAGGUUGGCUAAUCCUGGUCGGACAUCAGGAGGUUAGUGCAAUGGCAUAAGCCAGCUUGACUGCGAGCGUGACGGCGCGAGCAGGUGCGAAAGCAGGUCAUAGUGAUCCGGUGGUUCUGAAUGGAAGGGCCAUCGCUCAACGGAUAAAAGGUACUCCGGGGAUAACAGGCUGAUACCGCCCAAGAGUUCAUAUCGACGGCGGUGUUUGGCACCUCGAUGUCGGCUCAUCACAUCCUGGGGCUGAAGUAGGUCCCAAGGGUAUGGCUGUUCGCCAUUUAAAGUGGUACGCGAGCUGGGUUUAGAACGUCGUGAGACAGUUCGGUCCCUAUCUGCCGUGGGCGCUGGAGAACUGAGGGGGGCUGCUCCUAGUACGAGAGGACCGGAGUGGACGCAUCACUGGUGUUCGGGUUGUCAUGCCAAUGGCACUGCCCGGUAGCUAAAUGCGGAAGAGAUAAGUGCUGAAAGCAUCUAAGCACGAAACUUGCCCCGAGAUGAGUUCUCCCUGAGACUAUAAGUCUCCUGAAGGAACGUUGAAGACGACGACGUUGAUAGGCCGGGUGUGUAAGCGCAGCGAUGCGUUGAGCUAACCGGUACUAAUGAACCGUGAGGCUUAACCUUACAACGCCGAAGCUGUU
rnacentral:rRNA from 1 species